CAGGGAAUAGUUUAAAAUAGAACAUCAGCUUUGGGAGUUGAAGGCAGGAUAUGGUAUCUUUUCCCUGA
rnacentral:tRNA from 1 species